rnacentral:lncRNA from 1 species
GAAAAGAAAAAUGAGCACAUGUGCUCAUUCGUUUCACUACCUGGAAGAAAGAAAACAGCAGCACGUAGCAAGCUACCUUACGAUAAAUCACGGUCCAGCAACACAAAUAAAAAUGGCACAUGGGCUACAUUAAAUAUCACGUCCAGCAAAAUAAAAAGGGUAGCGUCCAGUAGUUGAUUUGGAGCAGCCAGCUGCAGCGUCAUUCGUCCAACAUCUUCACGGUCUGGCCAAGCAAGUCCAGUUGCUGCCACGGCCCAAGCAAUAUUCUUGGAGCUGUAUGUGUGUUUCAAUUGAGAAAGGAGUGGCGUCUAGCAAAGUUCCACCAGCUGAAGGAGAAGCUCACGGCCCUUGAAGCGGUCUAGCCUUUACACGGUGGGAGCAACUUCAUCAUCCAACAGCACUCCACUUGGCAGCAAGCAUGCGUUGACACAGGCAGCCCAAUAGCAAUUUGAAUCGUAGGCAUGCAUCUUUAUCAAGCUUGGAGAAAUUUUCCUUGAGGCUAUAGCACGUUAAUAUUUCUUGGGCUGAAAAGAACCAUGUUGGUCCAGCAGUAGAAAAAUGGCAGCGCUGCAGCACAAUGAAAAAAAAAGCAAAGAAAAAAAAAAUUCACAUGGGCCCAGAGUAGGAAGUAGGUCAUACACCCUAGGAAACAUUCUCAUAAAAGAGAUUCCUAGGCAGCCGCCACAGGUGGAGGAGCAAAAGAGCUUUCUUUGGGAUUUUUGGGAGAAUGGAAUGGAGGGAUAUGGGAUAGCUGUCUAGGCGCUAAUGAAACUUUAUUUUUGGAGCACAUGGUAAGGUCCAGCAAUGAGUGAGCCUUUGUCCAGAAUUUUUUUCAGCAAGCUCUGAAUUGCUUUGAGCUCACACGUUGCAAGCUAGUAGCUUUGUCUUCGUUUUAUUGGAUUUAAAAUCGAUGAAGGAGUGAUGCAUUUAAUUGUUUUAGAUAAGCACAAUUAAUUUUCCAUUUUGAAAGCACACAUGGAUGUGCAUGAACCGUGAAUCAUAUACAUUGGUGGAUGUCUUUAAUCAGAAUUUUCAUUUCUUUAUCCUAAUGUUGCAUUGAAUAGCGUUGCAGAUGGUUGCCUCGUUUAUAUUUUGCAUUGUAAUAGUUUAAAUUAGUUUAGCUUCAACUGAAUUCCCGCACUUUAGCAUGUCUUUUAUUUUCUGCUGCACCGGACUUGCAAGAGCUGAUGCUUACAUUCAAAUAACAUAAUAUGCAUGUUUCGAUUUACCCGUUGCAAUUUAAGUCGGUCAAGCAAUUUCUCCUUAAUUUAGUUUUAAUGUCAGUUUAGGUUAGGUUGUUGGUCGUUAAUAAAAUUACUUUGUUUCCAUGAGAUUCUUGUACUUUAAUUGCCAGACAGCUACUCUGAUUUAGCUAAAUCUUUAAUCUAUUGUGUGCUUGCGAUUGGGUAUACGCUUAGUUGCCUAAUCGGUGUUUAAUCUUCGCUUAGUUGAUUAGACUGUAUGGUGCAUGAUUGAAUAAAUUUGUGCACUGCAUUCGCUUAGUCUGUAAUUUUGAAGACCGAAUUAGCCUUCGCUUAGUUGGUUGAUUCGUGUCGGAUUUGGAUUAGA